rnacentral:misc_RNA from 1 species
GAUGAAGAACGCAGCGAAAUGCGAUAAGUAAUGUGAAUUGCAGAAUUCAGUGAAUCAUCGAGUCUUUGAACGCACAUUGCGCCCCCUGGUAUUCCGGGGGGCAUGCCUGUCCGAGCGUCAUUGCUGCCCUCAAGCACGGCUUGUGUGUUGGGCCCCCGUCCCCGGUUUCCCCCGGGGACGGGCCCGAAAGGCAGCGGCGGCACCGCGUCCGGUCCUCGAGCGUAUGGGGCUUUGUCACCCGCUCUGUAGGCCCGGCCGGCGCCAGCCGACACCCAACUUUAUUUCUAAGGUUGACCUCGGAUCAGGUAGGGAUACCCGCUGAACUUAAGCAUAUAAAUAAGCGGAGGA